GGAGGGAAGAAGGAGUAACAAAAGUGAAAACAAAAACUAAAAACUAAAAUCUAUUUGAAAUUGUUUUCACUUUCAAGUUUUUGUUUUCACUUUUGUUACUCUUCCCUCCCAUUC
rnacentral:miRNA from 1 species